CUCCGGUUGAUCCCGCCGGACCCGACUGCUAUCGGAUUGAGAUUUAGCCAUGCGAGUCGAACGUCCCCCUGUUGCGGGGGGCGUGGCGUACGGCUCAGUAACACGUAGUCAACCUGCCCUGGAGACAAGGACAACCCCGGGAAACUGGGAUUAAUCCUUGAUAGGUCAUCUCAUCUGGAAGGAGAGAUGGCUUAAAGGGGUACGCGGGCUUCUUCCGCGAAUCUGCUCCAGGAUGGGACUGCGUCCGAUCAGGCUGUUGGCGGGGUAAUGGCCCACCAAACCUGUAACUGGUACGGGCCUUGAGAGAGGUGGCCCGGAGAUGGACACUGAGAGAAGGGUCCAGGUCCUACGGGGCGCAGCAGGCGCGAAACCUUCGCAAUGCGCGAAAGCGUGACGAGGUUAAUCCGAGUGACUCCCGCUGAGGGGGUCUUUUGUCAGCUGUAAAUAGGCAGGCGAAUAAGGGGAGGGCAAGCCUGGUGUCAGCCGCCGCGGUAAUACCAGCUCCUCGAGUGGUCGGGGCGAUUAUUGGGCCUAAAGCAUCCGUAGCCGGUUCCGUAGGUCCUCUGUUAAAUCCAACCGCUUAACGGUUGACCUGCAGAGGAUACCGCGGGACUAGGAGGCGGGAGAGGCGGACGGUACUCCGCGUGUAGGGGUAAAAUCCUUUGAUCCGCGGAAGACCACCAGUGGCGAAGGCGGUCCGCCAGAACGCGCUCGACGGUGAGGGAUGAAAGCUGGGGGAGCGAACCGGAUUAGAUACCCGGGUAGUCCCAGCCGUAAACGAUGCUAGCUAGAUGAUUCAUUCGCAAGUCGCGAAUGAAGUGUCGCAGGGAAGCCGUUAAGCUAGCCGCCUGGGGAGUACGGUCGCAAGACUGAAACUUAAAGGAAUUGGCGGGGGAGCA
rnacentral:rRNA from 1 species